CUACUACCUGGAACAACUUUGCGAUCACGGUGCGGCUCGGUAAAACUGCUGAUUCAAAAAAUAUAAUUGAAAAUUCGGUUUGCUCAGCAUUACAAGGACUGGAUAGUAAACUAAUAAAACAAAUAGCACAACACAUUUGAGCAUCCGACUACUGCUGCUAACUUAAAUGUUUGGUAGCAUGCCGCCAUGGUGUCACAAUGCUCUUCCCGCCGUCAAAUUCUGCGGCACCUCCGAAAACAGACUGCCAUGGUGUCACAAUGCUCUUCCCGCCGUCAAAUUCUGCGGCACCUCCGAAAACAGACUGCGAAAGCUAUCAAUAGCAGCACACGACUCACCAUCUGCUGAUGUGCGUGUACUGUGGGAGUGUGUUUGUAAAUCUGUCAUACUCUCGCGUCCCUUUCCUUCUUCG
rnacentral:lncRNA from 1 species